rnacentral:rRNA from 1 species
CUGGUGUAGCGGUGAAAUGCGCAGAUAUCAGGAGGAACACCGAUGGCGAAGGCAGGUCUCUGGGCAUUAACUGACGCUGAGGAGCGAAAGCAUGGGGAGCGAACAGGAUUAGAUACCCUGGUAGUCCAUGCCGUAAACGUUGGGCACUAGGUGUGGGGGACAUUCCACGUUUUCCGCGCCGUAGCUAACGCAUUAAGUGCCCCGCCUGGGGAGUACGGCCGCAAGGCUAAAACUCAAAGGAAUUGACGGGGGCCCGCACAAGCGGCGGAGCAUGCGGAUUAAUUCGAUGCAACGCGAAGAACCUUACCAAGGCUUGACAUGAACCGGACCGCCGCAGAAAUGUGGUUUCCCCUUUGGGGCUGGUUUACAGGUGGUGCAUGGUUGUCGUCAGCUCGUGUCGUGAGAUGUUGGGUUAAGUCCCGCAACGAGCGCAACCCUCGUUCUAUGUUGCCAGCACGUGAUGGUGGGGACUCAUAGGAGACUGCCGGGGUCAACUCGGAGGAAGGUGGGGACGACGUCAAAUCAUCAUGCCCCUUAUGUCUUGGGCUUCACGCAUGCUACAAUGGCCGGUACAAAGGGUUGCGAUACUGUGAGGUGGAGCUAAUCCCAAAAAGCCGGUCUCAGUUCGGAUUGGGGUCUGCAACUCGACCCCAUGAAGUCGGAGUCGCUAGUAAUCGCAGAUCAGCAACGCUGCGGUGAAUACGUUCCCGGGCCUUGUACACACCGCCCGUCAAGUCACGAAAGUUGGUAACACCCGAAGCCGGUGGCCUAACCCCUUGUGGGAGGGAGCUGUCGAAGGUGGGACUGGCGAUCGGGACU